UCCCAGGCUCUGCUAAGAGCCAUCACCUGAAUUAAACAGCAUUUCU
rfam:Phaethon lepturus contig111943, whole genome shotgun sequence.